rnacentral:rRNA from 1 species
GACGAACGCUGGCGGCGUGCUUAACACAUGCCGGUCGAACGGAAAGGCCCUGCUUUUGUGGGGUGCUCGAGUGGCGAACGGGUGAGUAACACGUGAGUAACCUGCCCUUGACUUUGGGAUAACUUCAGGAAACUGGGGCUAAUACCGGAUAGGAGCUCCUGCUGCAUGGUGGGGGUUGGAAAGUUUCGGCGGUUGGGGAUGGACUCGCGGCUUAUCAGCUUGUUGGUGGGGUAGUGGCUUACCAAGGCUUUGACGGGUAGCCGGCCUGAGAGGGUGACCGGCAACAUUGGGACUGAGAUACGGCCCAGACUCCUACGGGAGGCAGCAGUGGGGAAUAUUGCACAAUGGGCGGAAGCCUAAUGAAGCAACGCCGCGUGCGGGAUGACGGCCUUCGGGUUGUAAACCGCUUUCGCCUGUGACGAAGCGUGAGUGACGGUAAUGGGUAAAGAAGCACCGGCUAACUACGUG